UGCAAGUCGAGCGGUAACAGAAAGUAGCUUGCUACUUUGCUGACGAGCGGCGGACGGGUGAGUAAUGCUUGGGAACAUGCCUUGAGGUGGGGGACAACAGUUGGAAACGACUGCUAAUACCGCAUAAUGUCUACGGACCAAAGGGGGCUUCGGCUCUCGCCUUUAGAUUGGCCCAAGUGGGAUUAGCUAGUUGGUGAGGUAAUGGCUCACCAAGGCAACGAUCCCUAGCUGGUUUGAGAGGAUGAUCAGCCACACUGGAACUGAGACACGGUCCAGACUCCUACGGGAGGCAGCAGUGGGGAAUAUUGCACAAUGGGCGAAAGCCUGAUGCAGCCAUGCCGCGUGUGUGAAGAAGGCCUUCGGGUUGUAAAGCACUUUCAGUCAGGAGGAAAGGGUGUGAGUUAAUACCUCACAUCUGUGACGUUACUGACAGAAGAAGCACCGGCUAACUCCGUGCCAGCAGCCGCGGUAAUACGGAGGGUGCGAGCGUUAAUCGGAAUUACUGGGCGUAAAGCGUACGCAGGCGGUUUGUUAAGCGAGAUGUGAAAGCCCCGGGCUCAACCUGGGAACUGCAUUUCGAACUGGCAAACUAGAGUGUGAUAGAGGGUGGUAGAAUUUCAGGUGUAGCGGUGAAAUGCGUAGAGAUCUGAAGGAAUACCGAUGGCGAAGGCAGCCACCUGGGUCAACACUGACGCUCAUGUACGAAAGCGUGGGGAGCAAACGGGAUUAGAUACCCCGGUAGUCCACGCCGUAAACGAUGUCUACUAGAAGCUCGGAACCUCGGUUCUGUUUUUCAAAGCUAACGCAUUAAGUAGACCGCCUGGGGAGUACGGCCGCAAGGUUAAAACUCAAAUGAAUUGACGGGGGCCCGCACAAGCGGUGGAGCAUGUGUUUAAUUCGAUGCAACGCGAAGAUCCUCACCUACACUUGACAUACAGAGAACUUUCUAGAGAUAGAUUGGUGCCUUCGGGAACUCUGAUACAGGUGCUGCAUGGCUGUCGUCAGCUCGUGUUGUGAGAUGUGGGUAAGUCCCGCACGAGCGCCAACUCUAUUCUUAGUGGCUAGCAGUACUGCUGAAAACUCUAGAACUGCUGGUGAUAACGGAGGAGGUGGGGACGACGUCAGGUCAUCAUGCCUACGUGAGGCUACCACGUGCUCAUGGCCAUAAGAGGCUCACUGCAAGUUACCAAUCCUAAGUGCCUGAUCCGGAUGGAACUGAACUCGACUCAUUGGAAUCGGAAUUCGUCAUAAAUGAACU
rnacentral:rRNA from 1 species